rnacentral:rRNA from 1 species
AGUGAACGCUGGCGGUAGGCCUAACACAUGCAAGUCGAACGGCAGCACAGGAGAGCUUGCUCUCUAGGUGGCGAGUGGCGGACGGGUGAGGAAUACAUCGGAAUCUGCCCAGUCGUGGGGGAUAACGUAGGGAAACUUACGCUAAUACCGCAUACGACCUUCGGGUGAAAGAGGGGGAUCGCAAGACCUCUCGCGAUUGGAUGAGCCGAUGUCGGAUUAGCUAGUUAGCGGGGUAAUGGCCCACCAAGGCGACGAUCCGUAGCUGGUCUGAGAGGAUGAUCAGCCACACUGGAACUGAGACACGGUCCAGACUUCUACGGGAGGCAGCAGUGGGGAAUAUUGGACAAUGGGCGCAAGCCUGAUCCAGCCAUACCGCGUGGGUGAAGAAGGCCUUCGGGUUGUAAAGCCCUUUUGUUGGGAAAGAAAUCUUUCAGGCUAAUACCCUGGGAGGAUGACGGUACCCAAAGAAUAAGCACCGGCUAACUUCGUG